rnacentral:rRNA from 1 species
AACGAACGCUGGCGGCGUGCCUAACACAUGCAAGUCGAACGAGAAAGGGGCUUCGGCUCCGAGUAAAGUGGCGCACGGGUGAGUAACACGUAGGUAACCUGCCUCUAAGAUUGGGAUAACAUGUCGAAAGACGUGCUAAUACCGAAUAAGACCACGGCUUCCUCGGAAGCAGGGGUCAAAGAUAGCCUCUACUUGUAAGCUAUCACUUAGAGAUGGGCCUGCGUACCAUUAGCAGUUGGUAGGUAAUGGCCUACCAAGGCAAAGAUGGUUAGCUGGUCUGAGAGGAUGAUCAGCCACACUGGAACUGAGACACGGUCCAGACUCCUACGGAGGCAGCAGUGGGAAUAUUGCGCAAUGGGCGAAAGCCUGACGCAGCAACGCCGCGUGAGUGAUG